rfam:Schistosoma margrebowiei strain Zambia genome assembly, scaffold: SMRZ_contig0004161
AUCCAGCUGACGAGUCCCAAAUACGACGAAGUGACACGCGUUCUGGAU